AAGGGCUUAGUUAAAAUAUAACAUUAGGUUGUCAAGCUAAAAUAAUCACUAUGAUAGUCUUUA
rnacentral:tRNA from 1 species